rnacentral:rRNA from 1 species
CAAAGUCGAAACGAGAUACUUCGGAGUUAGUGGCACACGGGUGAGUAACGCGUGGGAACCUACCUUUGGGUACGGAAGCCCAUUUGGAAACGACUGCUAAUACCGUAUGUGCCCUAUGGGGGAAAGAUUUAUCGCCUGAAGAUGGGCCCGCGUUGGAUUAUGUACUUGUGGGGGAAACCGCCUCCGAUGGCGACGAUCCUGGGGUGGUGGGACAGGAUGAUCACCAUCCCUGGGAGUGAUAACGGCCGGAACUCCUACGGGAGGCAGAGAGGGGGAAUAUUGGACAAUGGGCGCAAGCCUGAUCCAAUCUGCCACGUGAGUGAUGAAGGCCCUACGGGUUUUAAAGCUCUUUUAACGAGGAGGAUAAUGACGUUACUCCUUAAGAAGCCCCGGCUAACUUCGUGCCAACACCCGCGGUAAUACGAAGGGAGCUAGCGUUGUUCGGAAUCACUGGGCGUAAAGCGCACGUAGGCGGACUUUUAAGUCAGGGGUGAAAUCCCGGGGCUCAACCCCGGAACUGCCUUUGAUACUGGAAUUCUUGAGUCUGAGAGAGGUGAGUGGAACUCCGAGUGUAGAGGUGAAAUUCUGUAGAUAUUCGAGAAGAACACCAGUGGCGAAGGCGGCUCACUGGCUCGGUACUGACGCUGAGGUGCGAAAGCGUGGGGAGCAAACAGGAUUACAUACUCUGGUAGUCACGCCGUAAACUAUGAAAGCUAGCCGUCAGGUAGCGAUGCUAUUUGGGUGGCGCAGCUACACGCAAUACGCUUCUCCGCCUGGGGGAGUACGGUCGCAGUAAUCAAAACGUCGAAAGGAACUGACGGGAGCCCUGCACCAGCGGUGGGAGCAUGUGCUUUAAUUCUAAGCAACGCGCAAAAUCCUUACCA